AUUCCAGCUCCAAUAGCGUAUAUUAAAGUUGUUGCAGUUAAAAAGCUCGUAGUUGGAUUUCUGGUAGGAGCGACCGUGCCGAACCUGAUUGUUCGUGUAUUGUGUUGUCUUCAGCCAUCCUCGUGGAGAACUUUUCUAACAUUAACUUGUUGGGAUUGGGACCCGCGUCGUUUACUGUGAAAAAAUUAGAGUGUUUAAAGCAGGCAUUAGCUUGAAUACAUUAGCAUGGAAUAAUAAGAUAGGACUUUGGUACUAUUUUGUUGGUUUGCAUACCAAAUUAAUGAUCAACAGGAACAGUUUGAGGAUAUUCGUAUGAACAUGUCAGAGGUGAAAUUCUUGGAUUUUGAUCAGACGAACUACUGCGAAAGCAUUUAUCAAGGAUGUUUUCAUUG
rnacentral:rRNA from 1 species